rnacentral:rRNA from 1 species
GACGAACGCUGGCGGCGUGCUUAACACAUGCAAGUCGAACGGAAAGGCCCUGCUUUUGUGGGGUGCUCGAGUGGCGAACGGGUGAGUAACACGUGAGUAACCUUCCCUUGACGGUGGGAUAACUUCAGGAAACUGGGGCUAAUACCGGCUAGGAGCUCCUGCUGCAUGGUGGUGGUUGGACAGUUUCGGCGGUUGGGGAUGGACUCGCGGCUUAUCAGCUUGUUGGGGGGGUAGUGGCUUACCAAGGCUUUGACGGGUAGCCGGCCUGAGAGGGUGACCGGCCACCUUGGGACUGAGAUACGGCCCAGACUCCUACGGGAGGCAGCAGUGGGGAAUAUUGCACAAUGGGCGGAAGCCUGAUGCAGAAACGCCGCGUGCGGGAUGACGGCCUUCGGGUUGUAAACCGCUUUCGCCUGUGACGAAGCGUGAGUGACGGUAAUGGGUAAAGAAGCACCGGCUAACUACGUG